GACGAACGCUGGCGGCGUGCUUAACACAUGCAAGUCGAACGGAAAGGCCCCUUUUGGGUUUCUCGAGUUGCUGACGGGCGGGUAAGACGCGAGUAACCAACCCUCCACUUCGGGAGAAAUUCCUGCUACAAGGGCUAAUUCCUACUAGGUAUCCUUUCUGCAUGGCGGGGGUUGGAAAGCUUCGGCGGUUUUGGAUGGACUGGCGGCCUAUCAGCUUGUUGGUGGGGUAGUGGCUUACUAAGGCUUUGACGGGUAGCCGGCCUGAGAGGGAGACCGGGCACAGUGGGACUGGGAUACGGCCCAGACUCCGACGGGAGGCAGCAGUGGGGAAUAUUGAACAAUGGGCGGGAACCGGAUGCAGCAGCGCCGCGGGCGGGAGGACGGAGUUGGGGUUGGAAACCGAAUUCAGCAGGAGCGAAGCUUGUGGUGACGGUACCUGCAGAAGAAGCACCGGCUAACUACGUG
rnacentral:rRNA from 1 species